UACGUAGGGUGCAAGCGUUGUCCGGAAUUAUUGGGCGUAAAGAGCUCGUAGGCGGUUUGUUGCGUCGGCUGUGAAAUCCCGAGGCUCAACCUCGGGUCUGCAGUCGAUACGAGCAAACUAGAGUGUUGCAGGGGAGACUGGAAUUCCUGGUGUAGCGGUGAAAUGCGCAGAUAUCAGGAGGAACACCGGUGGCGAAGGCAGCUCGCUGGGACGUUACUGACGCUGAGGCGCGAAAGCUAGGGGAGCAAACAGG
rnacentral:rRNA from 1 species